GAGAGCAUCUUACAGUAUCGCUCCAUUUAUGAUUUAUGAAUCCAUAUAAUGUUCUUUCGAUGGAAAUAUUCUAGCCAGAACAAUUUAUAAAAUAAUACAUAAAAAAUGUAAAGACACACAGCAUAGUACAGCGAUGCGAAAUGUUGGUGCAACAGCAUCAGCGACGGUGAACAACAAAUUCGUAGCCGGCAGGCAUAUUGUGCGUAUCGUGGUUUUUCUCGCAUUUUUUCUACUUUCUCUCGAAAAAAAAAUCUCUCUCCACAACGCGAAGCAGAAAAAAAUGCGACGAUAAGAGGGCAGAAGAAAAGGAGACCGAGACAAUGCUUUCCAUAGAUUGCAAUAAGGUUACAUACAUCGAGAUUUUAGUGAUACCUAAUCGUUGUGUAUGUGCCCAGUGUGACACUUGGCAUCUCUUAUGAUUGCAAAAUGGUCGAAUCGAGACACAAAACUUCCCGCUCUUAAUACACCAAACAACCAAAAGCAUACACCCGGACAUACGGAAAAACUAUAUGAACGAAGCAAUAAAUAAUGCACAAAAGGACAACAUGUUGUGCGUUCGUCAUGUUAAAGAGUGCCCACCUCUCGCUCUUGCGAAUAGAUAAAGAGCAAACUUGCUCCACGGCAAAACAAUGGGAUUUUCGGAGCGUUUUGUAAAUGUGUGCGCGGCUCUCAUCCACUACUAAAGUCCAUUCACGACGUGAAUUGAUUUAUUCACACUCGAUUAUGCUCGUAAAGGGGAAGCUGGUGGAGAAAGGCAGCGACAGCAGCAAGAGCAUCAUCGGUAACAGCAACAACAACCUUAAAUGCUCUGCUGUUGCGGACAUGCAGACCAAAGUUUUGUACUGAUCAGUUUGAGUUUUAGCUCAUUGAGCAGCUCACUUAGCAAAACAAAGCCAAUAAUUCAAAUGUGAAUGAUUACCAACAAAUAACAUAAAACAACAUAUUCAACUGAAACUCAAACAGAACUCAAGCAAUGUGUAAAAGCAGUUGUUGCCCGAUUUUUCUGUUCGGUUGCCUGAUUUUCUAUCAAUGGUUUCGACAGAAAAAAAACCGUCAAAGAUUUUGUGCCAAAUUUCAUAAAUUUUCAAUUUCUUUUGUUUUGUCCCUUAAUGUAUUCAAUUCUCAAAGCCACCAAUGGGUACUUACCUUUAAAUUAUGGCCAACAAUGAGAGUAUAGCGUACGUUUGUUGUUAUUUUUACUGAAGUUUUUGUUGGCGAUUUAUUAUGUAGUGUAACGGUGCAACUUUCGACAAGUGUUAAAUAUCAGAAUAUUUGCAAGGCAAAUCACCCAAUUAGAAAUGAGCGCAUUGGCUGAAAGUGAACGAAAGAAAAAAAGCAAGAAUCAGCUUCCUUUAUUGUUAAGUCCCGGAACGACGAUUUAUGGCCCAAUUUUAUUAAAUCUCAUUAAUGGCACAUUUCGAAAUUCGAAUGUAUGUUUUUAAAACGGUGCACUCUUGUUCCAAAAAUUUGAGUCCUCUGUUAGACACAAAAUGAGUCGAAUACGCCUCUUAAUGCCUCUGCUUCUCUGUUCGGUCCUUUCUGUUUGCACACACAUAUAUACACACACACUCUUAAUGAGUUUACCGAAUGGAGAAAAAGGGUUCAGUGUCUUUUGCAUCGCCAUAUGAUUGUAUA